rnacentral:rRNA from 1 species
CCGCAACGAGCGCAACCCUCGUUCUAUGUUGCCAGCGGUUCGGCCGGGGACUCAUAGGAGACUGCCGGGGUCAACUCGGAGGAAGGUGGGGAUGACGUCAAAUCAUCAUGCCCCUUAUGUCUUGGGCUUCACGCAUGCUACAAUGGCCGGUACAGAGGGUUGCGAUACUGUGAGGUGGAGCUAAUCCCUUAAAGCCGGUCUCAGUUCGGAUUGGGGUCUGCAACUCGACCCCAUGAAGUCGGAGUCGCUAGUAAUCGCAGAUCAGCAACGCUGCGGUGAAUACGUUCCCGGGCCUUGUACACACCGCCCGUCAAGUCACGAAAGUUGGUAACACCCGAAGCCGGUGGCCUAACCCUUGUGGGGGGAGCCGUCGAAGGUGGGAUUGGCGAUUGGGACUAAGUCGUAACAAGGUAACC